rnacentral:rRNA from 1 species
UGGGGAAUAUUGCACAAUGGGCGCAAGCCUGAUGCAGCCAUGCCGCGUGUAUGAAGAAGGCCUUCGGGUUGUAAAGUACUUUCAGCGAGGAGGAAGGCGUUGUGGUUAAUAACCGCAGCGAUUGACGUUACUCGCAGAAGAAGCACCGGCUAACUCCGUGCCAGCAGCCGCGGUAAUACGGAGGGUGCAAGCGUUAAUAGGAAUUACUGGGCGUAAAGCGCACGCAGGCGGUCUGUCAAGUCGGAUGUGAAAUCCCCGGGCUCAACCUGGGAACUGCAUCCGAAACUGGCAGGCUAGAGUCUUGUAGAGGGGGGUAGAAUUCCAGGUGUAGCGGUGAAAUGCGUAGAGAUCUGGAGGAAUACCGGUGGCGAAGGCGGCCCCCUGGACAAAGACUGACGCUCAGGUGCGAAAGCGUGGGGAGCAAACA